GACGAACGCUGGCGGCGUGCUUAACACAUGCGAGUCGAACGGAAAGGCCCUGCUUGUGUGGGGUGCUCGAGUGGCGAACGGGUGAGUAACACGUGAGUAACCUUCCCUUGACUUUGGGAUAACUUCAGGAAACUGGGGCUAAUACCUGAUAGGAGCUCCUGCUGCAUGGUGGGGGUUGGAAAGUUUCGGCGGUUGGGGAUGGACUCGCGGCUUAUGAGCUUGUUGGGGGGGUAGUUGCUUACCAAGGCUUUGACGGGUAGCCGGCAUGAGAGGGUGACCGGCGACAUUGGGACUGAGAGACGGCCCAGACUGGUAUGGGAGGCAGCAGUGGGAAAUAUGACACAAUGGGGGGAAGCCUGAUGCAGCAACGCCGCGUGCGGGAUGACGGCCUUCGGGUUGUAAACCGCUUUCGCCUGUGACGAAGCGUGAGUGACGGUAAUGGGUAAAGAAGCACCGGCUAACUACGUG
rnacentral:rRNA from 1 species